UACAGAGGGUGCAAGCGUUGUUCGGAAUUACUGGGCGUAAAGCGUGCGUAGUCGGUAUUGAGAGUCGCGGGUGAAAUCCCAGGGCUUAACCCUGGAACUGCCUGCGAGACCUCAGUACUAGAGUGUGAGAGGGGAUAGUGGAAUACCCAGUGUAGCGGUGAAAUGCGUAGAGAUUGGGUGGAACACCGGUGGCGAAGGCGGCUAUCUGGCUCACAACUGACGAUCAGGCACGAAAGCGUGGGGAGCAAACAGGAUUAGAAACCCUUGUAGU
rnacentral:rRNA from 1 species